UGUUGCUAUCAAGAACUGCAUAUUGCUCACGGAUUUCAGCCAUGAUCUUUGUCAGGUCUUCCUGUGGUGCCGCGUCUACCUCUAC